rnacentral:rRNA from 1 species
CAAUAGCGUAUAUUAAAGUUGUUGCAGUUAAAAAGCUCGUAGUUGGAUUUCUGGGAGGGCGCCAAUGUCCGCUGUUGCGUGUGCAGCGGCGCCCUUCCAUCCUUCUGUUAACGUUUCUUGGUAUUCAGUUACUGGUUUCGGGCUCAGAUAUUUUACCUUGAGAAAAUUAGAGUGUUUCAGGCAGGCUUGCGCCGGAAUACAUUAGCAUGGAAUAAUAGAAUAGGACUUUAGUCUCUCUUGUUGGUUUAGGGACUGAAGUAAUGAUUAAUAGGGAUAGUUGGGGGCAUUAGUAUUUAAUUGUCAGAGGUAAAAUUCUCGGAUUUGUUAAAGACUAACUUAUGCGAAAGCAUUUGCCAAGGAUGUUUUCAUUAA